rnacentral:rRNA from 1 species
UGGGGAAUAUUGCACAAUGGGCGAAAGCCUGAUGCAGCGACGCCGCGUGGGGGAUGAAGGCUUUCGGGUCGUAAACUCCUUUCAGCAGGGACGAAGCUUUUGUGACGGUACCUGCAGAAGAAGCACCGGCUAACUACGUGCCAGCAGCCGCGGUAAUACGUAGGGUGCGAGCGUUGUCCGGAAUUAUUGGGCGUAAAGAGCUUGUAGGCGGUUUGUCGCGUCUGCCGUGAAAGCCCAGGGCUUAACCCUGGGUCUGCGGUGGGUACGGGCAGACUAGAGUGUGGUAGGGGAGACUGGAAUUCCUGGUGUAGCGGUGAAAUGCGCAGAUAUCAGGAGGAACACCGAUGGCGAAGGCAGGUCUCUGGGCCACUACUGACGCUGAGAAGCGAAAGCAUGGGGAGCAAACA